rnacentral:lncRNA from 1 species
GGCAAACAGAAGAUCGGCGUUCGAACAGACAGCAGCAAGAGCUUUGAAAUAACCUGGUUCAUGGAAAGGUUUCAAAGGAGGAAAAUCUAUGUGUGCAGAGAAUAUGCUGAAAUUGUUGUGGUGCCGACAGUCUGAAUAGCCCAGGGAAGGAAAUGAAAUUUAUGAAUCAUUGAAUGUCCCAGUGAUUUUCCAAGGUCUGAAAGGCCAAGUUCAGCUCCUGUUGAACACCGGACUGCAGAACCCACAGGUCUGGAAGAGUUUCACCCAACUUGAUGACAAUGAACUCAAACAAUUCAGAGCUUCCCAUCAGCCUUGUGCAGAUUCAGGAGCCUUCAAGCCCCAAAUGUCUUUGCUGGAGCAGAGCAAUGUCUGGAAGCUGAAGUAUCUCUGUUUGAGCCUGUUCCUCGUUACUGGCUGUGCUUUGUACAUAAGGAGAGAUUCAAAAUUUGAAAAACAACUUCAAGCGGUCAAUGCCUUAUGGACCUGAUCCAGCUCCAUUAAAAUAACUGGAGUGACUUCCAUUGACUUCAACAGGAUUUGGAGCGUGGCCUUCAGUAAGUAAUUUCAGUCCAGCAAACCUGCACCGAUUGAAGAAAGGUCCUUGAGCUUGUUAAAGUCCCAACAGCUGAAGAUUCGUUAAGAAAGCUUUCUGAAUGACUCCAAUACAUAAAGAACCUGACUGUAUGAUCCUUUCCUGAACAAAACCCCCAAAUUUAGUCAAGUAGGAAUGCCAACUAAGGAAUAACAAAAAGGUAAAUAUUAAAAUAUGCAGUGGAACAAGUCAUGUUGCUGGCUUUUGUUUUGCUUUUUUACAUAACACAUGGUUUCUAGAUUUGUAUUUAAAAAAUGUAGGAACCGAACACCUGCUGAAGUUAUCCUUCAUUGCUGAAAGCACCUACUGAAGUCUCCUCACUGUAUGGUUUUAGAAACAGGAAUAACAGGAGGUAGCCAACCCAAAACUAUAGCCUUUAGACAAAAAGGAGAAAGGAACAGUCGUAGUUCCUAUAUUCUAGGGAUCUCACACUGGUCUUCCCCUCCUUCUACUGACUGUCCCUUUCUCAUGUGACUCCCUCAUGUUUAUUUUGACUCCUUUCUUUCUGCAACUACUAACUACAACUGAUUUUCAGUCUUACCACCAAGGUAAACCAGAAAUUAUUAAAAAGUUACUACAUGAUUAACAUUU